GUUAGGAAUAUUGGACAAUGGGCGCAAGCCUGAUCCAGCCAUGCCGCGUGAGUGAUGAAGGCCUUCGGGUUGCAAAGCUCUUUAGUCCACGAAUAUAAUGACUAUAGUGGAAGAAUAAGCCCCGGCUAACUUCGUGCCAGCAGCCGCGGUAAUACGAAGGGGGCGAGCGUUAUUCGGAAUCACUGGGAGUAAAGCGUGCGUAGGCUGUUUUGUAAGUCAGAAGUGAAAGCCCAGGGCUUAACCCUGGAAUUGCUUUUGAAACUACAAGACUCGAAUUCGGGAGAGGAUAGCGGAAUUGUCAGUGUAGCAGUGAAAUGCGUAGAUAUUGACAGGAACACCAGUGGCGCAAGCGGCUAUCUGGACCGAUAUUGACGCUGAGGCACGAAAGCGUGGGGAGCAAACAGGAUUAGAUACCCGUGUAGUCC
rnacentral:rRNA from 1 species